rnacentral:rRNA from 1 species
GACGAACGCUGGCGGCGUGCUUAACACAUGCAAGUCGAACGGUGAAGGGAUCAGCUUGCUGGUUCUGGAUGAGUGGCGAACGGGUGAGUAACACGUGAGUAACCUGCCCCCUUCUUCUGGAUAACCGCAUGAAAGUGUGGCUAAUACGGGAUAUUCUGCGCCUGCUGCAUGGUGGGUGUGGGAAAGAUAUUGUUUCGGUGGGGGAUGGGCUCGCGGCCUAUCAGCUUGUUGGUGGGGUGAUGGCCUACCAAGGCGGUGACGGGUAGCCGGCCUGAGAGGGUGGACGGUCACACUGGGACUGAGACACGGCCCAGACUCCUACGGGAGGCAGCAGUGGGGAAUAUUGCACAAUGGGCGCAAGCCUGAUGCAGCGACGCCGCGUGAGGGAGGGAGGCCUUCGGGGUGUGAACCUCUUUCGCCAGUGAAGCAGGCCUGUCCCUUGUGGGUGGGUUGACGGUAGCUGGAUAAGAAGCGCCGGCUAACUACGUG